CUCCCUGUAGCGAGAUGGAUAGCGCUUUGGACUCGAUCCAAAGGGCGUGGGUUCGUAUCCCAUCUGGGAUA